GAGUUUGAUCCUGGCUCAGGAUGAACGCUGGCGGCGUGCCUAAUACAUGCAAGUCGAGCGAACGGACGAGAAGCUUGCUUCUCUGAUGUUAGCGGCGGACGGGUGAGUAACACGUGGAUAACCUACCUAUAAGACUGGGAUAACUUCGGGAAACCGGAGCUAAUACCGGAUAAUAUUUUGAACCGCAUGGUUCAAAAGUGAAAGACGGUCUUGCUGUCACUUAUAGAUGGAUCCGCGCUGCAUUAGCUAGUUGGUAAGGUAACGGCUUACCAAGGCAACGAUGCAUAGCCGACCUGAGAGGGUGAUCGGCCACACUGGAACUGAGACACGGUCCAGACUCCUACGGGAGGCAGCAGUAGGGAAUCUUCCGCAAUGGGCGAAAGCCUGACGGAGCAACGCCGCGUGAGUGAUGAAGGUCUUCGGAUCGUAAAACUCUGUUAUUAGGGAAGAACAUAUGUGUAAGUAACUGAGCACAUCUUGACGGUACCUAAUCAGAAAGCCACGGCUAACUACGUGCCAGCAGCCGCGGUAAUACGUAGGUGGCAAGCGUUAUCCGGAAUUAUUGGGCGUAAAAGCGCGCGUAGGCGGUUUUUUAAGUCUGAUGUGAAAGCCCACGGCUCAACCGUGGAGGGUCAUUGGAAACUGGAAAACUUGAGUGCAGAAGAGGAAAGUGGAAUUCCAUGUGUAGCGGUGAAAUGCGCAGAGAUAUGGAGGAACACCAGUGGCGAAGGCGACUUUCUGGUCUGUAACUGACGCUGAUGUGCGAAAGCGUGGGGAUCAAACAGGAUUAGAUACCCUGGUAGUCCACGCCGUAAACGAUGAGUGCUAAGUGUAGGGGGUUUCCGCCCCUUAGUGCUGCAGCUAACGCAUUAAGCACUCCGCCUGGGGAGUACGACCGCAAGGUUGAAACUCAAAGGAAUUGACGGGGACCCGCACAAGCGGUGGAGCAUGUGGUUUAAUUCGAAGCAACGCGAAGAACCUUACCAAAUCUUGACAUCCUUUGACAACUCUAGAGAUAGAGCCUUCCCCUUCGGGGGGCAAAGUGACAGGUGGUGCAUGGUUGUCGUCAGCUCGUGUCGUGAGAUGUUGGGUUAAGUCCCGCAACGAGCGCAACCCUUAAGCUUAGUUGCCAUCAUUAAGUUGGGCACUCUAAGUUGACUGCCGGUGACAAACCGGAGGAAGGUGGGGAUGACGUCAAAUCAUCAUGCCCCUUAUGAUUUGGGCUACACACGUGCUACAAUGGACAAUACAAAGGGCAGCGAAACCGCGAGGUCAAGCAAAUCCCAUAAAGUUGUUCUCAGUUCGGAUUGUAGUCUGCAACUCGACUACAUGAAGCUGGAAUCGCUAGUAAUCGUAGAUCAGCAUGCUACGGUGAAUACGUUCCCGGGUCUUGUACACACCGCCCGUCACACCACGAGAGUUUGUAACACCCGAAGCCGGUGGAGUAACCUUUUAGGAGCUAGCCGUCGAAGGUGGGACAAAUGAUUGGGGUGAAGUCGUAACAAGGUAGCCGUAUCGGAAGGUGCGGCUGGAUCACC
rnacentral:rRNA from 1 species